UGUUGUUCCUACACAGAGUAAUAUCCAGGAAGGCUGUAAAGUUUCUUUUUAUAGUUUUGCUUUAUUUUUCAGGUUGCAGAGUCAGUUAGGCAGAGAAGAGCUCACUUCUCAGUGCUUGGUCCCUCCUCACCUGAGCCAAAGCGCUGACUUUGUUAGUGACCCCUUUGAUAUUACAGCCGCUUAACUCACAGUUUAAAUUGUUGAGAAACACAUGAAUGCAAUUUACCCCUAUUAAAAAAAAAAAAAAAAAAAACCUAGGUUUCUUCAUUAAUCUAAAGCAGCAUUCCAUCAAUCACUUCCAGAGCUCCAUAAAACAACCAAAAAGCCAUUUUUCCGUACUCAGUCUUUUCUUUUUUUAAAGUUCCAUCUGCUGGAAUGGAAGGCUAGAAGGGUGCCACCUCAGAUUUGCAAGUCUUUACAGUGUGCUUUGAACACUUCUGUAAGUGCAGUCCACGUUUGUGCACCAUUUGCACGACACAAUGAAUGGAAAAGUGCCUAAUGGCCCUUCCAGAAGGACGGGGUCAGGGUCAGCGCCUUCCAGAGGCCUGCGACGGCUGCGCGCCAGCCACGGUUUUGGCAACCCCAAAUGGCAGCGCGAGCUCUCCAAACCGCUGCAUGUCAAGCAGUAUCCUUAGGACACCUUUCAGCUGUCUGUCCCUCAGAGACAAGAAGGAAGACCCAGAGACACGGCAAUUCAGUUCUCUGCUCAUUCUUCCCAGACUGGCCACAGAGUUUCACCACCUCCCUCAUGCCCACUCAUUCAUGUUUUUAAACUUUAGGUGAGCCCUUCACAAGAAGCUACCACAGUCUCAAGAAGCUACUUAUGGUAUUAUGCCUUCUUGUUGAACAGCAGCAAACACCCAUCUAUUGAAAGACAUUUGAAUGAACUGUGACACUUUCUGCUAUUUUGGAAAACGGGACUGUUUGAAACUGAACUAAAAAUAUCUGCCCAAAAAACAAAGUGUUUGUGUUCCGAAAGAAAUGAGAAGAAGUUUAAAUGCUGUACUGAUGGACCCGUAGAAUAAGUCAUCCCUUUGGUGUGCCAAGAAAAUUGAAUGAAACCUUGUCUAAAAUAGAUCAGGUGACUCAUGCCCUAAAUGUACCUGUUCUUCUACACUGACCACCAAACACCACUGUCUGGGUGACAGACUUAGUUACCAGCAUCUACAUUGUGUGUGUAAAGCUUAAAGCUCAAUGGGAUUAAUUUCUCUGGUUGCAACUGUAAGUACUUCUGACAUUUCCUAAAAAGAAUGAAACAUAUAACACUUUCCAAAGAGCUCGAGUUUUUUGAAAGCUCAGAAGAGACUCGGAAGUCCUUUGACCAAAGGGAAAUACUGAUCAGCCUUUUUGUGAUUCUUUUUUGCCAAGGAGCAAUUGAACAUCUUAUUGUCCACAAAGUAAACAUACACAGACAUUGCUGAGAAGAAUACAUCAACAGAGAAAGGGGCAUGAAUGCUGAGCAGAUAAUCAAAAGCAGAGACAAUGUGCAGAACCAGGACAGAACUUGCUGAGGGUUUACAUAAAGAGUGUUUUCUAUUUUUCUGUGUACAAUUCAAUAUGUAAAGCUUCUCAAACUGAAAUAUAUUCUGCUCUAGGCUAGAAAAUUAAACUGAAAAAAUGUUAAAACUUCACCACUCUACUAGUCAUGUGAAAUGAAGUAGUGUUAGCAUGCAGAAUUACAUUAUUUUCCUGACAUAAACAGGUCUGGAUAUAGAGGAAGAUAAAUAAAUUCAUAAUUAUCUGUUUAAAUCUUGCCAUUUUUCUCGUAAAACUACGGAUCGAAGGGAAUGGCUGAGUUAAUGCCUUGUUUUAAAUCACAGAGAAAUCAGAAGUAGUGUGUGUAAAUGAUGCUUUCUAAUUUGAAGAACUAUUCAUGAAUUAUUAACCUUUUAUACAAGAAAAUGUAUGCUGCUUCCUACCAGUGUCCACAUAUGUCACUUACAACAAGGCCUAAGUUUCUUUUUCUGGGAAAAGUUUGGAUAUAGAGUAUCCAGAGCAAAGAGUUCUUCAGUUGAAAAGUCUUGAGCAUCCCACUGAAAUAUGAAUUAAAGAAACCAGAGAGAAAGUAAGAAGGAGAAGAAAAGAGAAUAUUGUCUAUUUUUUUUCAUGUACCAACACGUCGCAACAAAGUUUUAAAAAACAAUUCAUUAUUAAACUGACUAUUGCUUAAGGAGUGUCUUUUUUCAUAACCAGACAUGCACUUUACCAUCACACAUGAAAAGAAAACACUAGUAAGAGAUAUUCUGUUGACCAAAUGACAAAAAGAUCCCCGCAUUUGCAGUUAGUAAUAGCUGCAAAAAAAGUCCCACGUCUGUUAUCUACCACAGCUAGCCUAACCAGAGCCCAAAUUCAAAGUUACAGCCAAAGAGAGUCAUGCAUUACAGCUCUUAGCUGGUAUUUUGAAAAUAUAGAGGGAGAGGUAGUAUUAAACUACUGAAGAAACAUUUAUGGAAAGGAAGGGCUCAAAGUACACUACAGUCUGAUUGAGGUCUACUGAUCCAUGGCAGAAAGGCAACACAGCCACAAAAAGCCAGAAUUGUGCUGGAUGUUAUCAUCACCUCCACUUACGUACAACAAGCUUUGCCUCCCAGACUCCAGAAUGGAUAGAUUAGCUCUUUUAUUAUACAAAAAUAUGCCCUCACCAUUUACUGUAGAUCAACCUUCAGAAAUGAGUCACGACCUUUGUUUAAAGGGUGGGAUUUUUUGAAAUGCUGACACAUUGUUAAUUAAUUAUUAUUAUACAUUAUUAUUAACACUGUAUACUCAACAGGGUCUGCUACUGCAGAGAGACCUAAAUUACAGUCACAUAGAGCAUGGAGUUGAAUGAAUUAUUUCAAUUGUAAAACAGUCAAUUACACUCUAAAUCUGGUAUCUACUCUUCUGUGUUGUAAAAAAGCUUUUCUCAUUCUAGCAAUGAAGUACAGCAACCUGCAAAAAGCAGUGGCAGAGUCAUUUUGCAUUUAUCAUAUCAAUCUUCCUUGAUGUCUUAAAGAUUUCUAAUUCUAUUCAUGUGAUUGACUCAAGUUUUCUUUUGGUUUCAGUUUCAGAGUUUUGAAAUUUUGCAUGUACACCUGUACAAAUAUCCCAGAAGUAAAAUCUCAGUUUAGUAAUGUCAGAAAUCUCAUUAUUUUUGAGCAAAUCUCAUUAGUUUAAGAUCUAACUAGUGAUUUUUAUGCUUAAGCUUACUAACAUUGAUAAUAAUAUAACCUGGGUAAAUUCCUUCUUUAUAUAAAUGAGCAAUUAGAAACAACUUAAGCAAUUACAAGCAACAUAAAUACUUUUUUUCUUUGCUUUUGUGGAAAAUGUGAUGAAAUUUUCCCUGCAGAAAACUGAUUACAAAUCAGUCACAAUUGGAUGUCACUGCAGAAGUGACCAGCAUGAAGAGGAGACAGAGCCUGGUUUCCUCAAACAAUUCAAUAAAGAAUGACCAUACUUUCCCAUCAGCACAGACUAUAUGAAAACAAAAGGAGUAGCAUUUUAAAUUAAACUUUAUAUUUACCUGUACACCAUUUGGGAGAAAAAUGGCUUUCAAUGUUUCAAUGUUUGUUAAUUCUGUGUAAAUAAAAGCCUUCUGUGGUGUUGAAA